rnacentral:misc_RNA from 1 species
CAGAAAUGUAGCCGAUACGCGUCUGGCUCUGCUUAUCCCCGCAUAAGCAGCGCCUUGAAACAAAAAAAAAAAUAAAUAAAAUCAUUAAUAAAAACUAAGAUUAAAAAACGAUGUUAAAUUAUUAUCAAUUCAAUUCUUUGUCGUUUCGAUACUCGAAAAAAGCGUAAUAAAAAAUCAAUUGUAAUAUCGAUGUAUUAAUUGUUCCAUUAUCCUUUACGAUUCUGUCUAUAUAUAUGUAUAUGGUAUUAUAUGUAUAUGUAUCGAGUUUAAGUGUUUUAAUGUCUUAUUACGCAUCUACAGAAUAAUUGUCCCGCUAAUCGACGAUUAUUGUAAUAAUGAUAACUGGUAAUUGUUGCGCGACGUAGAUUUCCAAUAACUAUUGUAAAAGCUCCGUUUACAUUCGUGGCGACAGAAUUACGUAAAUUCAUAUCAACUACGAGCUGGAACGCGCGUUUGUUUGCACAUGUAUUUUUGAUCGAAUUCCUGGCUUUUAUUUGCUCGGUUAUUUAUCUAUUCAUUUUAUUAUUGUCUCGAUUAAUUUACGGCGAUACAGUAAAAUAACGCGAAAGUAAAAAAAAAAAAAAAAAAAACAGUGAAGACCGGUAAAGUCAAACUAACUCCGAACGAAGCCCUUUGAAGACGCAUUCCAACGUCGAUCUGUUUAUAAUCCAAAUUCACAAUGGUCGCCGAAAAGUACGCCAGCGCCGAGCCCGAGCUGAAGAAGGAGUUGAAGGAGAUCGCCGAGAGAAUCGUUUCGACCGGCAAGGGUAUUUUGGCCGCCGACGAGUCGACCGCGACAAUCGGAAAACGUCUUCAGGACAUCAACGUCGAGAACAACGAAGCGAACCGCAAGGCCUACCGCCAGCUCCUCUUCACCACCGACAAGGAAGUGAUCAGCCAGCACGUAUCCGGUGUGAUUCUCUUCCACGAGACGCUCUACCAGAAGGCCGACGACGGCACUCCGUUCGUCGAACUGUUGGCUCAGCGCAACAUAAUCCCCGGUAUCAAGGUCGACAAGGGCGUCGUACCCCUCUUCGGCACCAAAGACGAGUGCACCACCCAGGGACUGGACGAUCUGCAGGCGCGUUGCAUUCAGUACAAGAAAGACGGAUGUCACUUCGCCAAAUGGCGUUGCGUCCUGAAAAUCACAAAGGACACACCCAGCCAGCUGGCGAUCCUGGAGAACGCGAACGUCCUCGCGCGUUACGCCAGUAUAUGCCAGAGCGCGCGUAUCGUGCCGAUCGUCGAACCCGAAAUUCUUCCCGACGGUGACCACGAUCUCGCCAGAUGCCAACAAGUCACCGAGCAAGUCCUGGCCGCCGUUUACAAGGCCCUAGCUGACCACCACGUCUACCUCGAGGGAACCCUCUUGAAGCCGAACAUGGUGACACCCGGUCAGAGUUGCCCCAAGAGAGCCUCGCCCCAGGAGAUCGCCGCGGCUACCGUUACCGCUCUUUCGCGCACCGUGCCCCCCGCGGUAACCGGCGUCACUUUCCUCAGCGGUGGACAAUCCGAAGAGGAGGCUUCCGUCAAUCUUGACGCCAUCAACAAGUUCCCCGGCAAGAAACCCUGGGCAUUGACUUUCAGCUACGGGCGCGCCCUUCAAGCUUCCGUUCUCCGCGCGUGGGCCGGUAAACCCGAUCAGAUCGUUGCCGGACAACAAGAACUCAUCAAGAGAGCCAAGGCAAACGGCGCCGCUUGUCAAGGCAAGUACGUAGCAGGCAGUAUUUCGAGUACAGCCGGCGGCUCUUCACUUUUCGUCAAAUCGCACGCCUACUAAUUUUUACGCACUUCUUCCGUUCCAAUACGCACCAUUAUCACGUGACGAGCUCGGCAAACAGCGAUGCUGCCCAAGGAAAGUACGCUGGUGGAGUAGCCAGCCUCGCAGGAGACGCAGGACUCUUCGUAGCUAACCACGC